UACAGAGGGGGCAAGCGUUAUUCGGAAUUAUUGGGCGUAAAGCGCACGUAGGCGGGUUCUUAAGUCAGGGGUGAAAUCCUGGAGCUCAACUCCAGAACUGCCUUUGAUACUGGGAAUCUCGAGUCCGGGAGAGGUGAGUGGAACUGCGAGUGUAGAGGUGAAAUUCGUAGAUAUUCGCAAGAACACCAGUGGCGAAGGCGGCUCACUGGCCCGGUACUGACGCUGAGGUGCGAAAGCGUGGGGAGCAAACAGG
rnacentral:rRNA from 1 species